AUGAAUGAUAUGCUAUUAGCACCUUUUACUCCGGAUGAUGUGAGAAAGGCUGUUUUCAGUAUUGGUAAUUUGAAAGCACCGGGCCCCGACGGUUUGCAUGCGUUGUUUUAUAAAAAGUUCUGGCACUUGGUGGGUGAGGAUAUUUCUUGAGAAGUAUUACAUGCAAUUAAUCAUGAUUAUAUUCCGGCUGGUUGGAAUGAAACAACAGUGGUGCUAUUCCCGAAGGUCGAUACUCUAGAAUUGAUCACCCAAUUUAGACCAAUAAGUCUUUGUAAUGUAAUUUAUAAAAUAAUUUCAAAGAUGUUGGCCUCUAGAUUGAAGCAAAUUUUGCCUGAAAUAGUCUCUGAGACACAGAGUGCUUUUGUCUCAGGACGCAUGAUUACAAAUAAUGUUCUAGUAGCUUAUGAAUGUAUCCACACAAUAAAAAAUAAGAGGGCUGGUAAGGUGGGAUUGUGUGCUGGUAAGCUUGAUAUGCAUAAAGCUUAUGACAGAAUCGAGUGGAUUUUUCUGAAGAACAUGAUGUUAAAAUUGGGGUUCUCCGACAAAUGGGUGGAUAUGAUGAUGGCAUGUGUUUCUUCUGUCAAUUAUACUCUCAAGUAUAACUCCCAGGAGACUACCAGUUUUAGCCCAACUAGAGGUAUUCGUCAAGGGGACCCCCUAUCUCCUUACUUGUUCUUAUUGUGUGCAGAGGCACUAUCAAGUUUAUUGCUGUUUGAAGAGGAAGUUGGUGGUAUGGAUGGGAUUAAGAUGUGCAGAAAUGCACCGUCAGUAUCACACCUUUUAUUCGCUGAUGAUUCCCUUAUUCUCAUGAAAGCAGAUAUGACUAAUGCAACUUCUCUACAGCAAGCCCUUGAUGUGUAUUGCAACAAUUCAGGACAAAUGGUGAGUGUGGCUAAAUCAAGUAUUUUCUUCAGUUCCAAUAGUGAUACUGACAUGAAAACAUAUAUAUGUAAUUGCCUGAAUAUUAAUACAGAAGCCCUCUCAGAUAAAUUUCUUGGACUGACGGCUUUAGUUAGAGCCAGGAGUGAUUGUUUUAACCACUUCGUUGAAAGGGUUUGCUCAUGGACACGGGACUGGAAUGAGAAGCUUCUAUCUACGGAAUGUAAAGAAAUUUUGCUUAAAGCAGUUGCCCAAGCGAUACCUGUAUAUGCAAUGUCUGUUUUUAAAAUCCCUAAAGGAGUAUGCAAGGAUAUCACAGAUGCAAUUGCAAGGUUCUGAUGGGGAGAUGAUGAAAAUAACAAUAGAAUGCAUUGGUGGGCUUGGUGGAAAAUGUGCUUCCCAAAGAAAGAGGGAGGGAUGGGCUUCCGAGACCUCCACUAUUUUAAUUUGGCCAUGCUAGCCAAGCAAUGCUGGAGGCUACUGGAUGAACCAAAGUCUUUGUGUGCCAAGAUUCUGAGAGCGAAAUAUUAUCCUUCAGGUGGUCUUCUAUCUGCUGGACCAAAAAAAGGAUCUUCAUUUACUUGGCAGAGCUUAGUUGCGGGAAUCCAAACUUUUAAAAGAGGACACAUAUGGAUAAUUGGAAAUGGAGAAAAGGUGAACAUGUGGGAGGAUCAUUGGAUCCCUUCGAGCCCUACUAGGAAAAUUAUCACACCAAGGAAUGGGGUUUUGAUCACCAAAGUCAACGAGCUUAUUGAUCCUAUCACAGAGAACUGGGAUGAGGAAUUGAUUCGGGAUAUUUUUAAUCCAAUUGAUACCAAUCACAUUUUGCAAAUUCCUUUGAGUUACAAUUCUUUUGAUGAUUUUGUUGCAUAG
rnacentral:rRNA from 1 species